rnacentral:lncRNA from 1 species
CAUAUGGGGCAAGCAACUCCUGAUACCGCCAGGAUGGGCUGGUUUAUUCAGUGUCUGUUAGCUGCGUUUAAAAGAAGAAAGGAAGGUGAAAAGAAAGAAAUUUCUCUAUUCAUGAAGUUCUUAAAGUUAUAAUUUUGGUCAAUCAGGUUCUUCUCCAAAUUCAGAUUCUAAAAAAGUGAAAGCACAAACACUGUUUUCAGGACAAGUGUAACUGUUCUUUGUAAAUGUAUUUCACGUCAAUGACCAGCUCACACUGACCUCUGAGUCCGUAGGUUACAAUCUGAUUGACUCAGUACUUAAAAUAAGCUUAACUGGACAUUUUCAAAGAUUAUUUUCACAGAGCUACAAUUCACUCAGGCUCUUUUUUCUGUGGAUCUCAAAACAGGAAUCCUGCCUCAGCAAAUCUAGUAUUUAUUUGUCAGUAUGCUUUGGAGGAGAAAGAAGAAAAUUCUUAAUUUUGUCAACUUAAUAAUAGAAAUUGAAUGUGACUGUUGGGGGAGGCAAGCCUCCUUUCACAAUUAUGAAAGAACACAGGUUUAUUAACCAUGGAGGAUCCCAAAGUGAAGCCUCUGGGUCUCUUCCUAGGUCUGAGUUGACUUGUGGUGUCUUCUUUUUGUCCUUUUCUUCAUAUUCUGAUGAUUCAGACCACUUAACCCUCCUUCAUGCUGACAGAUCACCGUUGGAGCUGUGAGGUUCCUGUUACCCCAAGCUGGUGGCAUAUUCUCUCCAGUUCCCGCUUUCCUCAUUGCCACUGGAAAAAUCCCCUAGGUUUCCUCAGUUUGAAGUUCUGCUUAUUUCAAAAUAGUUUCGUUAUCCCUGCUACUGCGAACAUCUCGCCCUCUUGUUUCCAAGAAAGUUUAAUGAACAGACCUCUUCUCAAACUAAAGAUGAAAUCCCAUCAUUCUACUUAUUUUAUGUAGGAAAUCCACAUCUACAGGACCCUUCAGAGAGGGACCCCUCUUGCCCUGGAGUAAUCCUAUUAAGCACCUUCAUCUCACUGUUUCUAAUUAUAAUAAGAAAGUCAGAAGAAACUCGGUUUCUCCUAUAAUGAAUUCAUACAAGAAUUUCUGCAAGUGACAAAAUGUUGGAGAGAAUGACUUCAACACUCAACAGACUGAUUUUUUUAAAAAAAUAGAUCUGAUUAUUUCCUACAAUGUGAACAGCCUCUGUGUGUCUCCUAUGGCUUGACUGACUCACAAAGUUGUCCUUUCUUUCCCUCCAAUACCAGAAGUUGGAAGGAAACCCCUCCCAGCUACUGUAACAUAUAAGCAUGUAACUCAUUGUCUAAACACUGUAAUCGUGGAGGAUAUCAAAACUUGGCAAAGUGGAGAAGAUUGUUCUGUGCCAUGCAUCAUGAGGUCAUGACCAUCAGUGAAGACUGUCAGAGCCCUCAGUGGCCAGAUGACCCGCGUGCAUCAACUGGCGUGGUGUCACUGAAUUGGAGAUCUCUCCUUGUGUUCCAGGAGUAAACACAUGGAAGAUGUCAUAGACACACAGAAGGGAAUGCUGUGUGAGGUCGUAGCGAGGACUCUCCUCUUCAGACCAGGGCAGGGAACCCAGCACACCAGAGGGAUAUGGCACCUGCAUAACUGCUUCAGUGUUUUUGUUAUUAUUGUUGUUUUUUAUCAAAAUAAAGCAUUGUUUGCUUUGAUUCUCAUUCAGAAUUUUCUUGAAGAUACAUUCCAUCCUUUGAAUUAUAGAAAAUUCCUGUAUUUCAAUGAGGCGAGGACAUAUUCACAGGAAAAUGGAGUUCCCUUAUACGUAUGAAUCUUCUUGUGUCCAUUAAGGAGAUAUGGCAAGACAAACUUUUCCUCAGCACACUCCACAGACAUCCACUGUUAACUCUUCCUGCUUCCAAUGUCCUAGUUCAACAUGUCAGUUCUGGCACUCCAAAAGUUCCUGGACCCAGGACCCUGGACCAGCUGGCUGUCCUACAAUGCAACUCAAUUCACCCAAAUUCUGACACUGUUUACCUGGAGACAGCAUCAGAUUCCACAGUACAGAUGUGGCUAAAGUGACAAGUGUGGAAUCCUCGCUGAGCCUUGACACAGAGGGAAAACGUCUCUUUGAAUGAUAUUUGAGAAUUCUAGAUGGAAGGCCUGUUCCAGGAGGGAACUCCUACCAUGGAAACUACGGUGUGAUAUGAACGAGGUGUGACAGACAGCGAGGAACCCAGAGAGGCCGGGUGGAUCACAGUCCUCUCUGUCUCCAAAGUCUCUGCCAGGUACGGCAAACAAUUAUUUACCAAACAUUUACUUUCCCAUCUCCACAUGAAUUGACCCUGGAAGUCCCAGACCCCCACCGCCAACAUCCCCUGUGUCUUCAGCUUGAGUUGGUAAUUAAGGUGGUGGCUUCAGCCGUUUUGGUGAGUUACUCAGUUUUCCUAGGUUUCUCCCAUGCAUACAUGUUAUUAAACUUUGUUUUCUUUUUCUCCUUUUUUCUGUCUUAUGUCA